UCAAAAACAUGGCUCUCUGUGAUAAAAAAAAAUAGAGAGUCUAGCCUGCUCAAUGAUGUUUUCAUUAAAUAGCCGCAGUAUCCUGACUGCGUGAAAGUAGCAUAAUAAUUUGCCUUUUAAUUGGUGGCUGGUAUCAACGGUAUUAUGAAGGUGAAACUGUCUCUUAUGUAUUCUAUUGAACUUACCUACUAGGUGAAAAGGCCUAGAUGAUUUUAUAAGACAAGAAGACCCUGUCAAGCUUUACAAAGUUAAGAUUUAUCUAAUAUAUUUUGUUUGGUUGGGGCAACCGGGGGGCAAAUAAAAUCCCUCCACUUCUAUUUCCCUUUCUAGGAACGACCCGCAUUAGCGAUCUAGGGAAAAAGCUACUGCAGGGAUAACAGCGUAAUUUUCUUUGUGAGCUCUUAUUUAAAAGAAAGUUUGCGACCUCGAUGUUGGAUUAGGGUAUCCUGAAGGUGCAGAAGCUUUCAAGGGUUGGUUUGUUCAACCAUUAAAACC
rnacentral:rRNA from 1 species